rnacentral:rRNA from 1 species
AGUGAACGCUGGCGGUAGGCCUAACACAUGCAAGUCGAACGGCAGCACAGUAAGAGCUUGCUCUUACGGGUGGCGAGUGGCGGACGGGUGAGGAAUACAUCGGAAUCUACUUUUUCGUGGGGGAUAACGUAGGGAAACUUACGCUAAUACCGCAUACGACCUACGGGUGAAAGCAGGGGAUCUUCGGACCUUGCGCGAUUGAAUGAGCCGAUGUCGGAUUAGCUAGUUGGCGGGGUAAAGGCCCACCAAGGCGACGAUCCGUAGCUGGUCUGAGAGGAUGAUCAGCCACACUGGAACUGAGACACGGUCCAGACUCCUACGGGAGGCAGCAGUGGGGAAUAUUGGACAAUGGGCGCGAGCCUGAUCCAGCCAUACCGCGUGGGUGAAGAAGGCCUUCGGGUUGUAAAGCCCUUUUGUUGGGAAAGAAAAGCAGCAGGUUAAUACCCCGCUGUUCUGACGGUACCCAAAGAAUAAGCACCGGCUAACUUCGU